CCUACGGGAGGCUGCAGUGGGGAAUUUUGCGCAAUGGGCGAAAGCCUGACGCAGCAACGCCGCGUGUGUGACGAAGGCCCUAGGGUUGUAAAGCACUGUGGGAAGGGAAGAAAAAACGGGGGUUGUACCCCGUCUUGACGGUACCUUGUUAGAAAGCACCGGCUAACUCCGUGCCAGCAGCCGCGGUAAUACGGAGGGUGCAAGCGUUGUUCGGAAUUAUUGGGCGUAAAGGGCGUGUAGGUGGCUUGCCAAGUCUGGUGUGAAAGCCCACGGCUCAACCGUGGAACUGCAUUGGAAACUGGCAAGCUCGAGUGUUGGAGGGGGUCGCGGAAUUCCCGGUGUAGAGGUGAAAUUCGUAGAUAUCGGGAGGAACACCAGUGGCGAAGGCGGCGACCUGGCCAAUCACUGACACUGAGACGCGAAAGCGUGGGGAGCAAACAGGAUUAGAUACCCGGGUAGUC
rnacentral:rRNA from 1 species